rnacentral:rRNA from 1 species
UACAGAGGGUGCGAGCGUUGUCCGGAAUCACUGGGCGUAAAGGGCGCGUAGGCGGUCUCUUAAGCGUGCGGUGAAAGCUCGGGGCUCAACCCCGAGUCGGCCGUGCGAACUGAGUCGCUUGAGCACUGUAGAGGCAGGCGGAAUUCCCGGUGUAGCGGUGAAAUGCGCAGAUAUCGGGAGGAACACCGGUGGCGAAGGCGGUUCUCUGGGCCUUACCUGACGCUGAGGAGCGAAAGCGUGGGGAGCGAACAGG